rnacentral:rRNA from 1 species
AGUGAACGCUGGCGGCGUGCUUAACACAUGCAAGUCGAACGAGAACGGAUUAUAGCUUGCUAUAAUUGUCAGCUAAGUGGCGCACGGGUGAGUAAUGUAUAGAUAACCUGCCCUCUAGAAAGGAAUAACAGUUGGAAACGACUGCUAAUGCCCUAUAUGCCUUUAAUACAUAAGUAUGCAAGGGAAACGCUUUAGUGCUAGAGGAUGGGUCUGUAUGGUAUCAGCUAGUUGGUGAGGUAAUGGCUCACCAAGGCUAUGACGCCUAACUGGUUUGAGAGGAUGAUCAGUCACACUGGAACUGAGACACGGUCCAGACUCCUACGGGAGGCAGCAGUGGGGAAUAUUGCACAAUGGACGAAAGUCUGAUGCAGCAACGCCGCGUGGAGGAUGACACAUUUCGGUGCGUAAACUCCUUUUAUAUAGGAAGAUAAUGACGGUACUAUAUGAAUAAGCACCGGCUAAC